GGGAGCAGCUGUGAGGUGGUUGCUGUUUAAGAAAGAGAUGACGGUGACUUGAGGACUUCUGUUUCUACUUAGGAUGUAGGAUGCUGCAAGAAAAUGUUACUCCCUAACAAUGAGAAAUAGCCGGAUAAUCUACAAAAUGAUAGCUUUUCUGGAGCUCUCAGAAAGCUGAGGUCAUAAGGCAACCAGGUAAAGCCUCUUCAAGGAGAGGGACUCGUGAACCAUUUCAGCUUUAGCAGAGCACAGGAGAAAGGGCUGGCUCUCAUACAAGCAGAAGGUGAAGAGAGAGAGAAUGGGGCAGAAGAAAUAUUUGAAGAGAUGAUGGUUACAUGAACGAGGAUGUGGCAAUGAGGCUGGAGAGAAGUGGAUAUGAGAAGCAUUUAGGGGGAAGAACCAUUGGAACUUGGUAACUGUGUGGAAUGAAGUAUGAGAGAGUGGGAAGAGUGACGCAUGGCACCCGAGUUUGGCUCAAGGUAGUGGGGAGUGGUUAGCAAGUGGUGGUGCCAGGGUUGAGAGCCAGGCCUAGCUCUCUCCAGAGUCUGUGCCCUCUAUUGCUGCACCAUACUGCCUCCUCCAGGCCAGACUGGAGUGACAGUGGGCCUCUUGCUCCUUGAUCCCCCGCCCUCCAGCGCCAGGCUUUACUAAGCCUUCAGUGG
rnacentral:lncRNA from 1 species